UUAAAGUGAACCCAAGUACCCAAGACUUUCACCACAAUGUCUUAAGCCAUGGUUGGGACCAUGCUUGCCACUCUUCAUCAGAGAGACCAACUAUUAUCAUCCUUAGCCUCCUUACCCAGCUCGUCUGACACAACCCCAUCCUUCUCUAUGGAACCCUCAUGGUUAAGUAGCUUAUCCUUAUAAGGUGUCUGAGGUGCCAUCUUCUAGCUCAUUCAUUUUAACUUUUUUCGUGCUUCUCACAAAAGGAUCCUUUUUCCUGGCUUGACGGCGACGCCAUUUCCUCCUCAGACUCGCCGCUAGCGCUCAUAUUCUACAGCAAAUGUUUUGUUAUUGUCCACUAAAUAAAUGCAACAUUAAAUACGAAAAAAUUACCUUAACUGAAGGAAAUUGAUAUCCACCGUCCUGGUCAUCAGACUAUCAUACGUCGUGCUUUCUACCAAUCAUUUUUUUUUGUGUUCAAACAUGUCAUUCACACCUCAUA
rnacentral:lncRNA from 1 species